rnacentral:rRNA from 1 species
GUGAGGAAUAUUGGUCAAUGGGCGAGAGCCUGAACCAGCCAAGUCGCGUGAAGGAUGAAGGUUUUAUGAAUUGUAAACUUCUUUUGCAGGGGAAUAAAGUACGGUACGUGUACCGUUUUGUAUGUACUCUGCGAAUAAGGAUUGGCUAACUCCGUGCCAGCAGCCGCGGUAAUACGGAGGAUCCAAGCGUUAUCCGGAUUUAUUGGGUUUAAAGGGUGCGCAGGCGGGUUGAUAAGUCAGCGGUGAAAGUUUGCAGCUUAACUGUAAAAUUGCCAUUGAAACUGUCGGUCUUGAGUGCAAAUGAGGUAGGCGGAAUGUGUUGUGUAGCGGUGAAAUGCUUAGAUAUAACACAGAACUCCGAUUGCGAAGGCAGCUUACUGGGAUGCAACUGACACUGAUGCACGAAAGCGUGGGUAUCAAACAGGAUUAGAAACCCCUGUAGUC